AUUGAACGCUGGCGGCAGGCCUAACACAUGCAAGUCGAACGGUAACAGGAAACAGCUUGCUGUUUCGCUGACGAGUGGCGGACGGGUGAGUAAUGUCUGGGAAACUGCCUGAUGGAGGGGGAUAACUACUGGAAACGGUAGCUAAUACCGCAUAACGUCGCAAGACCAAAGAGGGGGACCUUCGGGCCUCUUGCCAUCGGAUGUGCCCAGAUGGGAUUAGCUAGUAGGUGGGGUAACGGCUCACCUAGGCGACGAUCCCUAGCUGGUCUGAGAGGAUGACCAGCGACACUGGAACUGAGACACAGUCCAGACUCCUACGGGAGGCAGCAGUGGGGAAUAUUGCACAAUGGGCGCAAGCCUGAUGCAGCCAUGCCGCGUGUAUGAAGAAGGCCUUCGGGUUGUAAAGUACUUUCAGCGGGGAGGAAGGGAGUAAAGUUAAUACCUUUGCUCAUUGACGUUACCCGCAGAAGAAGCACCGGCUAACUCCGUGCCAGCCGCCGCCGUAA
rnacentral:rRNA from 1 species